CUACAAAGGAAGUUGACGGGGGCCCGGCACAAGCGGUGGAGUAUGUGGUUAAUUCGAUGCAACGCGAAGAACCUUACCUGGUCUUGACAUCCCGGAGACCCUUAGGAAACUAGGGGGUGCUUCCAUCUGGAAGAAUCUGGAGACAGGUGCUGCAUGGCUGUCGUCAGCUCGUGUCGUGAGAUGUUGGGUUAAGUCCCGCAACGAGCGCAACCCUUGCCUUUAGUUGCCAGCAGUUCGGCUGGGCACUCUAAAGGGACUGCCGGUGUUAAACCGGAGGAAGGUGGGGAUGACGUCAAGUCCUCAUGGCCUUUAUGACCAGGGCUACACACGUACUACAAUGGCCGAUACAAAGGGCAGCGACACUGCGAGGUGAAGCCAAUCCCGUAAAAUCGGUCUCAGUCCGGAUUGGAGUCUGCAACUCGACUGCGUGAAGUCGGAAUCGCUAGUAAUCGUGAAUCAGAAUGUCACGGUGAAUACGUUCCCGGGCCUU
rnacentral:rRNA from 1 species